ensembl:lncRNA
GACAUGCUUCAGAGUGCUCUUGUCUCACUGGCAGGGCAGGCAGGGCGGAGCUGGAAGAAGAUGUGAGGAGCCAUAGGAACUGCAGAAAUUCUUAAGUCACCUUGGCAAAGCAGACAUGCUUUACCCUCUAAUGGCUGACACAGUAGCAGCAACGACUACUAUGAGACUCGACUCAACACAACUUGACUACAAAAGCAUUUCAGGUGGUGCUUAUAUAGGUUAUGAGACGGCACAGUGCUAUACAAAUGAUCUCAGCUGUUACAUAAUCAUUGUUUGCAAAACGUGGGCCAAGAGUGAGAGGCCGUGGGGGUGAGAGAGCCUGACUACUGCUGUCUUGGCUAAUUUGCUCUUUCCCUACAGCUCUGAGUUGGCUUAUGGAGUGAAUUAUCUGCAGUGUGGUGACCCAGUGGCCUUGUAAAAGAGAGAAGGAGUGAUCAGGAAGUCAUCCUUUAAAUUGUCAUUUUGGCAGGGUGGCUCAGAGGGUAGAGAACUAGGCUGGGGUCAGAAGUCUUGGGUUCCAGGCCCUUAUAGCGCUGUGUGACUCUGGGCUUCAGUUUCUUCAUCAUAAAAUGAAGAGUUCAAAGAGGUGACUGGGAUAUGGAGUUUAGUGCCUUCUAUUAGUGUAUUGUUGUUUUCCAGUCGCUAAGUCAUGUCUGACUCUCCAAACCCAGGGACUGUAGCCCAGCAGGCUCCUCUGUCUGUGGAAUUUUCCAGGCAAGAAUACUGGAGUGGGUUGCCAUUUCCUUCUCCAGGGGAAUCUUCCCAAUCCAUAUCUCCAAUCAAAUCCAUAUCUCUUGUAUCUCCUGCAUUGGCAGGCAGAUUCUUUACCACUGUACCACCUAUAGGAUAAAGGAUGCUGAUAAAAUCAUAUCCAGGCCUUUCCCGAUAAGACAAAGACUUAAUGCUGCCCUGAAGAAUUUGACUUUGGAAAUGGCCGGUUUCACUUUGCUGAAAGCCCUGGGGCUGGGAGCAGCAGCCUGGAGGCAGCCUGUCUUGUGUUACUUGGCCAGGAGAAAUCUCUUGAGACAACAUGAAAUUAUGUCUCUUUGGGUCAUUUACUUUUCUCCUAAGAGUCAGUAAAAUAAUAACACCAGCAUAACAAUAGUGAUCACUCACAUGGCCCUUGCUAUGUGCCAAGCACAUAGCUC